GAUGAACGCUAGCGGCAGGCUUAAUACAUGCAAGUCGAGGGGCAGCAUAAGUAGCAAUACUUGAUGGCGACCGGCAAACGGGUGCGGAACACGUACGCAACCUUCCUUUAAGCGGGGAAUAGCCCGGGGAAACCCGGAUUAAUACCCCAUAAUAUAUUGAGAAAGCAUUUUCUUUUAUUAAAGAUUUAUCACUUAAAGAUGGGCGUAGCGCCUGAUUAGGUAGUUGGCGGAGUAAUAGCCCACCAAGCCNGCGAUCAGUAACUGGUGUGAGAGCACGACCAGUCACACGGGCACUGAGAC
rnacentral:rRNA from 1 species